AGAGCGAACGCUGGCGGCAGGCCUAAUACAUGCAAGUCGAACGGACCCUUCGGGGUUAGUGGCGGACGGGUGAGUAACACGUGGGAACGUGCCCUUUGGUUCGGAACAACUCAGGGAAACUUGAGCUAAUACCGAAUGUGCCCUUCGGGGGAAAGAUUUAUCGCCAUUGGAGCGGCCCGCGUCUGAUUAGCUAGUUGGUGGGGUAAAGGCUCACCAAGGCUACGAUCAGUAGCUGGUCUGAGAGGAUGAUCAGCCACACUGGGACUGAGACACGGCCCAGACUCCUACGGGAGGCAGCAGUAGGGAAUCUUGCGCAAUGGGCGAAAGCCUGACGCAGCCAUGCCGCGUGAAUGAUGAAGGUCUUAGGAUUGUAAAAUUCUUUCAGCGGGGACGAUAAUGACGGUACCCGCAGAAGAAGCCCCGGCUAACUCGUGCCAGCAGCCGC
rnacentral:rRNA from 1 species